GCGAAGUGUCUGUGUAGGGGAUGCAGUGUAUCUAUUGUAUGCAAUGUGUGUAGUACAUACAUUGUGUGUCUGUGUAGUGGAUGCAGUCUGUGUGUAGUGGAUGCAGUGUGUGUAUAAUGGAUGCAGUGUCUGUGAUUGUGUACUGAAUGCAGUGGCUGUGUUAGUGUAGUGGAUGCAGUGUAUGUUUGUGUGUCGUAUGCAGUACAAAAAAAGCCUCUAUUGACACUUAGUCAAUACAUACACACACCAC